rnacentral:rRNA from 1 species
UGGGAAUUUUGGACAAUGGGCGAAAGCCUGAUCCAGCAAUGCCGCGUGUGUGAAGAAGGCCUUCGGGUUGUAAAGCACUUUUGUCCGGAAAGAAAUCCUUGGCUCUAAUACAGUCGGGGGAUGACGGUACCGGAAGAAUAAGCACCGGCUAACUACGUGCCAGCAGCCGCGGUAAUACGUAGGGUGCAAGCGUUAAUCGGAAUUACUGGGCGUAAAGCGUGCGCAGGCGGUUUGCUAAGACCGAUGUGAAAUCCCCGGGCUCAACCUGGGAACUGCAUUGGUGACUGGCAGGCUAGAGUAUGGCAGAGGGGGGUAGAAUUCCACGUGUAGCAGUGAAAUGCGUAGAGAUGUGGAGGAAUACCGAUGGCGAAGGCAGCCCCCUGGGCCAAUACUGACGCUCAUGCACGAAAGCGUGGGGAGCAAACAGGAUUAGAUACCCUGGUAGUCCACGCCCUAAACGAUGUCAACUAGUUGUUGGGGAUUCAUUUCCUUAGUAACGUAGCUAACGCGUGAAGUUGACCGCCUGGGGAGUACGGUCGCAAGAUUAAAACUUAAAUGAAUUGAC